UACAGCCAUAUCAUAUUGAAAUACCGGUUCCCAUAUGAACACCAAAGUUAAGCGAUGUCAAGCUUGGUCAGUACUUAGAUGGGUAACCCCUUGGAAAUACCAGGUGCU